ensembl:lncRNA
CCACAGUCUACAAAUGUUUAAAAAAGCGUAUAAACUCUGAAGUUAGACAUUCAAAACCCACUGAAGUUCAUGAUUUAACAUGCUUGUGAUGGACCGAGUUGAAAAACAGGAGGAGCCCAGGAAUUAUUAGAAAAAUAUGGUUUCCAUUUAUUUAACCCCCCAAAAUUAUAUUUACAAGACUAAUAAAUGUUGAGCUCAUAAAAGAGGUCAAAGAAUCAAAACUGAACUCAGGCAAACUUAAACCAAAUGACUGCUCAAACAUACAUAAUUGACCUAAACAUGAAAUAUGUUUAGGUCAUAUAUGAAAAAUGACAUACAAGGGUAUAUAUAAUGGCUGAUCAGACCAUUGUGACACAUGAGGGGUAACAAACAAAACACAAUCACAAAUCACAAACGAUGCAGUACAAUCUAGUUUGUUAAUAAACUAAACACUAAAGAAGAAAAUCAAAAACCCCAUUAAACCCUAAACUCAAAUAUUUAAUUAAAUACAAAUACUUUGUUUUUAAAGUAAAGAAAACACACAUUCCCCCCCUUCAGCAGGAAGUGGUGGUAUGGUCCAAUUAUCUUCCUUUGUAUUUAAUGGUUUCAAACCCUGGCUACCAUCUUUUUGUCCGGCAACUCCCAGGGAUGAUAGCAGAGCUAACAGUCAAACAAGCAAAGGAUGUAACUCUGGAGUGCUAUGGCCCCAGUGAUGCUAACAUAAUGAUAAGCUGGCAAAAGCCUGACCUGCAGUCAGAGUAUUAUGUGUUCUACUUCAGCGAUGAACACAUUCACAAAGACAAACAGCAUGAAUCAUUUAAAGGUCGAGUGGAGCUGAAAGAUCCAGAGAUAAAGAAUGGAAACUUUUCUAUGAUUCUCAAAAAUGUCACCAUGAACGACGCUGGAAUAUAUGAAUGUUAUGCUGGAUACAACAGACAGAGACCUCAGCUUUUGAAGAGCAUCAACCUGAAGGUAAAAGAAGAAGGUCAGACAGUACUCGAUAAGGACAAAGACCAGAGGAGUGGAGCUGAUGGCGUAGAAGUUGACAUGUCGAUUUCCGUUGUGCUUGCUGCUGCUGUUUUGUUGUUUUAGCCGUCUGUUGAACUGCAGCCAGUUUGAAAGGCCACAGAUGGAAAUAUCACAGUGUAUAUUCACUCCACCCACCCACUCAGCAUUCACAGUGACAGAUGUGCUGAGGACAGACAGAAGUUAACGAUGCACAAUUAAACUGGAAUUUAGCACCUGGAGGAAACAUUAAGUUAUGUUCGUGUUUGUGAUUAUCUGAAGUUUCCUGCUCAACAUACAUGUUUGUUUACAUUGUUAUCUGCUGCCUUUUUUAGUCACCAUCAAAUAUCACUGAGCUAUUAUGAAUUCUGAAUUUUACAUUUUGAUAUUUUUGUCCUACAUAUUUUUCAUUUUACAUUUUAUUUUGAUAUUUUACAUGUUUUUUGCAUUUUUAAAGGCUUAAAAUACUGUUGAGAAGGAAGGUUACAUUAUAUGUAAAGAGGGCCAAAUAUAAGCCCUGACGGCCAUCACUAGUCCACUGGAUGACUUUGAAAAAUAUAAAAUGUGAAUUAAAAAAGAAAAAGUAAGAUGUUGGACUAUUUACUGUAUUUUGUCAUUAACAGUGGAUAACAUCAUGAGAAUCGA